rnacentral:rRNA from 1 species
UGAGGAAUAUUGGUCAAUGGGCGCAAGCCUGAACCAGCCAUGCCGCGUGUGUGAAGAAGGCCUUUUGGUUGUAAAGCACUUUAAGCGAGGAGGAGGCUACACUAGUUAAUACCUGGGGAUAGUGGACGUUACUCGCAGAAUAAGCACCGGCUAACUCUGUGCCAGCAGCCGCGGUAAUACAGAGGGUGCGAGCGUUAAUCGGAUUUACUGGGCGUAAAGCGUGCGUAGGCGGCUUUUUAAGUCGGAUGUGAAAUCCCUGAGCUUAACUUAGGAAUUGCAUUCGAUACUGGGAAGCUAGAGUAUGGGAGAGGAUGGUAGAAUUCCAGGUGUAGCGGUGAAAUGCGUAGAGGUCUGGAGGAAUACCGAUGGCGAAGGCAGCCAUCUGGCCUAAUACUGACGCUGAGGUACGAAAGCAUGGGGAGCAAACAG